rnacentral:rRNA from 1 species
UCCAGGCAAAUCCGGAUAAUCAAGGCUGAGGUGUGAUGACGAGGCACUACGGUGCUGAAGUAACAAAUGCCCUGCUUCCAGGAAAAGCCUCUAAGCAUCAGGUAACAUCAAAUCGUACCCCAAACCGACACAGGUGGUCAGGUAGAGAAUACCAAGGCGCUUGAGAGAACUCGGGUGAAGGAACUAGGCAAAAUGGUGCCGUAACUUCGGGAGAAGGCACGCUGGUGUGUAGGUGAAGUCCCUGCGGAUGGAGCUGAGACCAGUCGAAGAUACCAGCUGGCUGCAACUGUUUAUUAAAAACACAGCACUGUGCAAACACGAAAGUGGACGUAUACGGUGUGACGCCUGCCCGGUGCCGGAAGGUUAAUUGAUGGGGUUAUCCGUAAGGAGAAGCUCUUGAUCGAAGCCCCGGUAAACGGCGGCCGUAACUAUAACGGUCCUAAGGUAGCGAAAUUCCUUGUCGGGUAAGUUCCGACCUGCACGAAUGGCGUAAUGAUGGCCAGGCUGUCUCCACCCGAGACUCAGUGAAAUUGAACUCGCUGUGAAGAUGCAGUGUACCCGCGGCAAGACGGAAAGACCCCGUGAACCUUUACUAUAGCUUGACACUGAACAUUGAGCCUUGAUGUGUAGGAUAGGUGGGAGGCUUUGAAGCGUGGACGCCAGUCUGCGUGGAGCCAACCUUGAAAUACCACCCUUUAAUGUUUGAUGUUCUAACGUUGGCCCCUUACCGGGGUUGCGGACAGUGUCUGGUGGGUAGUUUGACUGGGGCGGUCUCCUCCCAAAGCGUAACGGAGGAGCACGAAGGUUAGCUAAUCCUGGUCGGACAUCAGGAGGUUAGUGCAAUGGCAUAAGCUAGCUUGACUGCGAGCGUGACGGCGCGAGCAGGUGCGAAAGCAGGUCAUAGUGAUCCGGUGGUUCUGAAUGGAAGGGCCAUCGCUCAACGGAUAAAAGGUACUCCGGGGAUAACAGGCUGAUACCGCCCAAGAGUUCAUAUCGACGGCGGUGUUUGGCACCUCGAUGUCGGCUCAUCACAUCCUGGGGCUGAAGUAGGUCCCAAGGGUAUGGCUGUUCGCCAUUUAAAGUGGUACGCGAGCUGGGUUUAGAACGUCGUGAGACAGUUCGGUCCCUAUCUGCCGUGGGCGCUGGAGAAUUGAGGGGGGCUGCUCCUAGUACGAGAGGACCGGAGUGGACGCAUCACUGGUGUUCGGGUUGUCAUGCCAAUGGCACUGCCCGGUAGCUAAAUGCGGAAGAGAUAAGUGCUGAAAGCAUCUAAGCACGAAACUUGCCCCGAGAUGAGUUCUCCCUGAGACUUUAAGUCUCCUGAAGGAACGUUAAAGACGAUGACGUUGAUAGGCCGGGUGUGUAAGCGCAGCGAUGCGUUGAGCUAACCGGUACUAAUGAACCGUGAGGCUUAACCUU